GCCCAGACAUCCUUAGUUCAUUUGUUAGAGCAUGGCGCUGAUAACGCCAAGGUUGUGGGUUUGAUCCCCGUAUGGGACA